rnacentral:rRNA from 1 species
AUACGGAGGGGGCUAGCGUUGUUCGGAAUCACUGGGCGUAAAGCGCUCGUAGGCGGACCAGUCAGUCAGAGGUGAAAUCCCAAGGCUCAACCUUGGAACUGCCUUUGAUACUGCUGGUCUUGAGGUCGAGAGAGGUAAGUGGAAUUCCUAGUGUAGAGGUGAAAUUCGUAGAUAUUAGGAAGAACACCAGUGGCGAAGGCGGCUUACUGGCUCGAUUCUGACGCUGAGGAGCGAAAGCGUGGGGAGCAAACAGGAUUAGAAACCCUAGUAGUCC